UACGAAGGGGGCUAGCGUUGUUCGGAAUUACUGGGCGUAAAGCGUAUGCAGGCGGACUUUUUAAGUCGGGGGUGAAAUCCCGAGGCUCAACCUCGGAACUGCCUUCGAUACUGAAAGUCUUGAGUCCGGGAGAGGUGAGUGGAACUGCGAGUGUAGAGGUGAAAUUCGUAGAUAUUCGCAAGAACACCAGUGGCGAAGGCGGCUCACUGGCCCGGUACUGACGCUGAGAUACGAAAAGCGUGGGGAGCAAACAGGG
rnacentral:rRNA from 1 species